rnacentral:lncRNA from 1 species
GGGCAGCCUUUUGGGUUUCACUUUCAAUAAUGGAGAUCACAAGAUAAGUAAGCUGUGAUAGACUGAAAUAAGUGUCUCAGAGUUGGAAUAUUCGAUGUGAUCAAAUUAUUUGAUUUUAUUAAAAAUAAGGAGGAGCCUUAUAUUUAUAAGAGGGUCAGUGGGAGGAUGAGAUUCUCUUGAUUGAAAAAAAUAUUUUUAUGCUGACUUCGGUUAAAAUAUAUUUAUCUAAGAAAUUCUUCAUAAAAAUCUUGAGAAGCAUCCUACAUCUUUGGGAUAAAGGUCGAUAGAAA